GAUGAACGUUAGCGGCAGGCUUAACACAUGCAAGUCGAGGGGCAGCGCGGGAUAGCAAUAUCCUGGCGGCGACCGGCGGAAGGGUGCGUAACGCGUGAGCGACAUGCCCGUUGCCCGGGGACAACCGGUGGAAACGCCGACUAAUCCCCGAUGGGAUAUUGUGCCGCAUGGCACGAUAUUGAAAGUUACGGCGGCGACGGAUUGGCUCGCGUCCGAUUAGCUGGUGGGCGGGGGAACGGCCCACCAAGGCUGCGAUCGGUAGGGGUUCUGAGAGGGAGGCCCCCCAACAGGGGACUGAGACACGGCCCAUACGACUACGGGAGGCAGCAGUGAGGAAUGUUGGUCAAUGGGCGGAAGCCUGAACCAGCCAUGCCGCGUGCGGGAAGGAGGCCCUGUGGGCUGUGAACCGCUUUUGCCUGGGGGCAAUAAGGGCGUCGCGCACGUCCGAUGAGAGUACCAGGCGAAUAAGCAUCGGCUAACUCCGUG
rnacentral:rRNA from 1 species